AUUGAACGCUGGCGGCAUGCUUUACACAUGCAAGUCGAACGGUAACAGGCCGCAAGGUGCUGACGAGUGGCGAACGGGUGCGUAAUGCAUCGGAACGUGCCCAGUCGUGGGGGAUAACUACUCGAAAGAGUAGCCAAUACCGCAUACGAUCUAUGGAUGAAAGCGGGGGACCGUAAGGCCUCGCGCGGUUGGAGCGGCCGAUGUUAGAUUAGGUAGUUGGUGGGGUAAAGGCUCACCAAGCCAACGAUCUGUAGCUGGUCUGAGAGGACGACCAGCCACGCUGGGACUGAGACUCGGCCCAGACUCCUACGGGAGGCAGCAGUGGGGAAUUUUGGACAAUGGGCGCAAGCCUGAUCCAGCAAUGCCGCGUGCAGGAAGAAGGCCUUCGGGUUGUAAACUGCUUUUGUACGGAACGAAACGGCUCUGGUUAAUACCCGGGGCUAAUGACGGUACCGUAAGAAUAAGCACCGGCUAACUACGUG
rnacentral:rRNA from 1 species